rnacentral:rRNA from 1 species
AGUGAACGCUGGCGGUAGGCCUAACACAUGCAAGUCGAACGGCAGCACAGUAAGAGCUUGCUCUUACGGGUGGCGAGUGGCGGACGGGUGAGGAAUACAUCGGAAUCUACUUUUUCGUGGGGGAUAACGUAGGUAAACUUACGCUAAUACCGCAUACGACCUACGGGUGAGAGCAGGGGAUCUUCGGACCUUGCGCGAUUGAAUGAGCCGAUGUCGGAUUAGCUAGUUGGCGGGGUAAAGGCCCACCAAGGCGACGAUCCGUAGCUGGUCUGAGAGGAUGAGCAGCCACCCUGGAACUGAGACCCGGUCCAGACUCCUACGGGAGGCAGCAGUGGGGAUUAGUGGACAAUGGGCGGAAGCCUGUUCCAGCCAUACCGCGGGGGGAAAGAAGGCCUUCGGGUUGUAAAGCCCUUUUGUUGGAAAGAAAAGCAGCAGGUUAAUACCCCGCUGUUCUGACGGUACCCAAAGAAUAAGCACCGGCUAACUUCGUG